AUGCUUCUGAAAAAUGCAGAAGAUACAAUACUGGAUAUAUUGGAUGUUUUAAAUGAGCUUGCCGUUUUCUUAGCUCGGGCUGUAAUUGACGAUGUGCAUGCCCCAUUGAAUUUGGAUGAAACUAACAGUAGUCUACCACCAAACAACAGUGGUAGUGAAACUGUGCGUAUGGCUCGAACACUUGUUUCAGCUUGCCCUGCAGGUGAAAGACUAUUGAAAUGUUUGAACACAAACUGA